AGCAGCAGCCACGGUAACACGGAGGGGGCUAGCGUUGUUCGGAAUUACUGGGCGUAAAGCGCGCGUAGGCGGCUUGGUAAGUUAGAAGUGAAAGCCUGGGGCUCAACCCCAGAAUUGCCUUUAAGACUGCCGAGCUAGUAGGUGAGAGAGGUAAGUGGAAUUCCGAGUGUAGAGGUGAAAUUCGUAGAUAUUCGGAAGAACACCAGUGGCGAAGGCGGCUUACUGGCUCAUUCUAGACGCUGAGGUGCGAAAGCGUGGGGAGCAAACAGGAUUAGAUACCCCAGUAGUCCCUGUCUCUUAUAC
rnacentral:rRNA from 1 species